UGGGGAAUUGUUCGCAAUGGGCGCAAGCCUGACGACGCAACGCCGCGUGGAGGAUGAAGAUCUUCGGGUCGUAAACUCCUGUCGAGCGGGAAGAAUAGUUUCGGGGUUAACAACCUCGGAGCUUGACGGUACCGCUAAAGGAAGCCCCGGCUAACUCCGUGCCAGCAGCCGCGGUAAUACGGGGGGGGCAAGCGUUGUUCGGAAUUACUGGGCGUAAAGGGCUCGUAGGCGGCCAACUAAGUCAGACGUGAAAUCCCCAGGCUCAACCUGGGAACUGCGUCUGAUACUGGAUGGCUUGAAUUCGGGAGAGGGAUGCAGAAUUCCAGGUGUAGCGGUGAAAUGCGUAGAUAUCUGGAGGAAUACCGGUGGCGAAGGCGGCAUCCUGGACCGACAUUGACGCUGAUGAGCGAAAGCUAGGGGAGCAAACGGGAUUAGAUACCCCGGUAGUCCUAGCCCUAAACGAUGAAUGCUUGGUGUAACGGGUAUCGAUCCCUGUUGUGCCGAAGCUAACGCAUUAAGCAUUCCGCCUGGGGAGUACGGUCGCAAGGCUGA
rnacentral:rRNA from 1 species